AUACGGGACUCAUCCGAGGCCCCGUAAUCGGAAUGAGUUCACUUUAAAUCCUUUAACGAGGAUCUAUUAGAGGGCCAGUCUGGUGCCAGCAACCGCGAUAAUUCCAGCUCUAAUAGCGUAUAUUAAAGUUGUUGCGGUUAAAAAGCUCGUAGUUGAAUCUGUGUCCCACACUGUCGGUUCACCGCUCGCGGUGUUCAACUGGCAUGUCUGUGGGACGUCCUACCGGUGGGCUUAGCCCGUCAAAAGGCGGCCCAACUCAAAAUCCUACCACGGUGCUCUUCACCGAGUGUCGAGGUGGGCCGGUACGUUUACUUUGAAUAAAUUAGAGUGCUUAAAGCAGGCUCAUUCGCCUGAAUAUUGUGUGCAUGGAAUAAUGGAAUAGGACCUCGGUUCUAUUUUGUUGGUUUUCGGAAUUCCGAGGUAAUGAUUAAUAGGGACAACUGGGGGCAUUCGUAUUGCGACGUUAGAGGUGAAAUUCUUGGAUCGUCGCAAGACGGACAGAAGCGAAAGCAUUUGCCAAAUGUGUUUUCAUCAAUCAAGAACGAAAGUUAGAGGUUCGAAGGCGAUCAGAUACCGCCCUAGUUCUAACCAUAAACGAUAACAGCUAGCGAUCCGCCGAAGUUUCUCCGAUGACUCGGCGGGCAGCUUCCGGGAAACCAAAGUUUUUGGGUUCCGGCGGAAGUAUGGUUGCAAAGCUGAAACUUAAAGGUAUUGACGGAAGGGCACUACAAGGAGUGGAACCUGCGGCUUAAUUUGACUCAACACGGGAAACCUCACCAGGUCCGGACACCGGAAGGAUUGACGAGACGAGAUCUCUUUCUUGAUUCGGUGGGUGGUGGUGCAUGGCCGUUCUUAGUUGGUGGAGCGAUUUAUCUGGUUAAUUCUGAUAACGAACGAGACUCUAGCCUGCUAAACAGGCGUACUUUCCGGUAUCGCAAAGACCCUCCGCUUCGGCUUCGGUCGUUGUUGGUUGUGGUUCUUACUACCGGCGUACAAAUAUAUCUUCUUAGAGAGACAGGUGGCAUUUAGUCGCACGAAAUUGAGCAAUAACAGGUCUGCGAUGCCCUUGGAUGUUCUAGGCCGCACGCGCGCUACACUGAAGAGAUCAGCAGGUUUUUCUUGGCCGAAAGGUCCGAGUAAUCCGUUGAAGCCUCUUUGUGCUAGGGAUUGGGGCUUGCAAUUCUUCCCCAUGAACGAGGAAUUCCUAGUAAGCGCGAGUCAUAAGCUUGCGUUGAUUACGUCCCUGCCCUUUGUACACAUCGUCCGUCGCUACUACUGACUGAAUUAUUUAGUGAGGUUUUCGGACCGGUGCGCGGCAGCGUUUCGACAUUGCCGAUGUUGCUGGGAAGAUGACCAAACUUGAUUAUUUAGAGGAAGUAAAAGUCGUAACAAGGUUUCCGUAGGUGAACCUGCGGAAG
rnacentral:rRNA from 1 species